AGCGGCUCCCCUUUGCUGCAUGUCAUCCCCUCUCUGUGUCCCAAUUUCAUGCUUAAAUACUGUCCUGUCAAAUAAAGGCAAAAGCCAAAAAAAGUUAGUGUGAACACAGGUCUAGCAGAUGAUAUGAGAAAAAUAGUGUUUUUGAACAUUAAAUCAUAUGACAACAGCAUGACUCGGAUUUCAUCAGUUGACUGGGACUCCUAUCGACACUGACAGGCUAUGAUGAUGGCAGGUGCGGCAUCGACUCAGCUUCAAAGUGGCUGAUGUGACUAAGGCAAGAGGCAGCAACAAUCCCUCUUCACUCGCUUCCCUCCACCGGCACCGUCGCCACCACCAGCACCUUGUUUCCUGAACAACACAAACUGCCUCUCUCUGCCAAGACUGCCUUCUUGUGAGCCAGAGUAGAAGAUUUUCCACCAAAGUUUUUAUUGAAAACUACAAAGGUAUCUCAGUAUCACCUCCUUUGUAACAUUUGUAAGCAGUGUAUAACAGUUAAAAUUUCAUAUAUGAUGUUUUUAACACACUAUAACAGGGUUGGCACACAUUUGUGGUCUUUGAAUGCAACUCAAUGAUGGGAGUAGAUUUCAGGGUGCACAAAGGGGACACCUCUUCCUCAGUAUUUAAAACGUGCAUUUUUCCCCCUCAUAAAAAUAUGAAAGUAGCAGAAUGCAGGAAAUUAAGUGUUUGAUACUCAGAUUUUUUCUGGCAGAGGACCCCAACCCCCACGUUUCAUGUGUCCCUCCCCACCGCCCACAAUGUUGAAACGAACCCUUUGCCCUUGCACUCGAUGCUCUUGUGUUUUGUUUUGAAUCUCAUCGGGUUAAAUAUUUGAAAAUGCACUUAAUGCGCCUCAAACACUCCUGUC